GUGCUGACCUGGGUGAGCGUCAUCUUUGUGAUUAUAGCUAACAUUAUCUUCUCGCCUUUCGUGGGAUAAGGGUUCUGUAGGGUACAAUAAAACAUAGCAAACAUGAAGACAUCAGGAAUUCAUGAGCAUCAUUGUUGUAAAGCUAACCUUCCUCCGACUCCCGUUCACAUCCACGGCGUAUCUAGACGAAACAAAUAAAAGCACAAUAAAAAUCUGAA